AUAUGCAUCUCUUGGGGAUCUUGUUGAAAUGCAGAUGCUGAUUCAGCAGGCUUGGGAGUGAGGCUCAAGAUUCUGCAUUUCUAACAAGCUCCUAGAUGAUGUCCAU
rnacentral:pre_miRNA from 1 species